ACACACACACACACACACACACACACACACACAGAGUCAUGUAGAUCUGUGGUAUCAGACUGGUCCAAUAAAGGGCAUUUUUUCUUUGCAUCCAGUCUCCUGUGGAAUCCCAGUGUCUGCAGGUUCCUAUUCUCAGAUUUAACCAACUGUAGAUUUAAAACCCGUGGAAGGGGGCGUGGGAUUGCAUUUAUACUGAAUAGAUAUUUGGUUGUUUUUGUUGUUGUUGUUCUUUUUUUUUUUUUUUUGCUUUGCUUUGCCACCAGGCUCUACAAAACCCAACAUUAACAACUAUUGAUGUUAUUCUACGCACUCUAAGGUCACCUGUGGGUGACUGAAAGCAUAUGGCUGGACAGAAGAGAUGGCUUAACAGUUAAGAGCACGUGCUGCUCUUCUAGAGGAUGGCGUUCAGUUCCCAGCGCCCACAUCAGAUUGCUCACAAUGGCUUCUAACUCCAAUUCCGGGGGACCUCCUGGCCUCUGUAGGCAUCCACACCUGUCAGGCUGUGGACUGUGUCUGCCUCAACACUGGGGUGCCUGAGCACCUCCGGCAAACCACUCAGGGGAGGCAGAACACAGUCCAUGAUGAGGUCCCAGACCAAGUUUUCCCAGGUCGCCACUGCCUUGGCACUGCAGAUGCAUCCUUGAGAACUUCGCUUGCUAACUUUCUCAUCACAAGGGACAGAACACCUUCCACUGUCAGAAUAAAAGAAUGCUCAUUGUG
rnacentral:lncRNA from 1 species